rnacentral:rRNA from 1 species
AACGAACGCUGGCGGCAGGCUUAACACAUGCAAGUCGAACGCGUGUAGCAAUACACGAGUGGCGCACGGGUGAGUAACGCGUGGAUAUCUGCCUUUUGGUUCGGAAUAACCCCGGGAAACUGGGGCUAAUACCGGAUGGUUCCUUCGGGAUAAAGAUUUAUCGCCAAAAGAUGAGUCCGCGUACGAUUAGCUAGUUGGUGAGGUAAUGGCUCACCAAGGCGACGAUCGUUAGCUGGCUGAGAGGACGAUCAGCCACACUGGGACUGAGACACGGCCCAGACUCCUACGGAGGCAGCAGUGGGGAAUAUUGGACAAUGGGGCAACCCUGAUCCAGCCAUGCCGCGUGAGUGAUGAAGGCCUUCGGGUU